GCUAGCGACAGGCUUAACACAUGCAAGUCGAGGGGCAGCGGGGGUAGCGAUACCCGCCGGCGACCGGCGCACGGGUGAGUAACGCGUAUGCAACUUGCCUAUCAGAGGGGGAUAACCCGGCGAAAGUCGGACUAAUACCGCAUGAAGCAGGGGCCCCGCAUGGGGAUAUUUGCUAAAGAUUCAUCGCUGAUAGAUAGGCAUGCGUUCCAUUAGGCAGUUGGCGGGGUAACGGCCCACCAAACCGACGAUGGAUAGGGGUUCUGAGAGGAAGGUCCCCCACAUUGGUACUGAGACACGGACCAAACUCCUACGGGAGGCAGCAGUGAGGAAUAUUGGUCAAUGGCCGAGAGGCUGAACCAGCCAAGUCGCGUGAGGGAUGAAGGUUCUAUGGAUCGUAAACCUCUUUUAUAAGGGAAUAAAGUGCGGGACGUGUCCCGUUUUGUAUGUACCUUAUGAAUAAGGAUCGGCUAACUCCGUGCCAGCAGCCGCGGUAAUACGGAGGAUCCGAGCGUUAUCCGGAUUUAUUGGGUUUAAAGGGUGCGUAGGCGGCCUUUUAAGUCAGCGGUGAAAGUCUGUGGCUCAACCAUAGAAUUGCCGUUGAAACUGGGGGGCUUGAGUAUGUUUGAGGCAGGCGGAAUGCGUGGUGUAGCGGUGAAAUGCAUAGAUAUCACGCAGAACCCCGAUUGCGAAGGCAGCCUGCCAAGCCAUUACUGACGCUGAUGCACGAAAGCGUGGGGAUCAAACAGGAUUAGAUACCCUGGUAGUCCACGCAGUAAACGAUGAUUACUAGCUGUUUGCGAUACACUGUAAGCGGCACAGCGAAAGCGUUAAGUGAUCCACCUGGGGAGUACGCCGGCAACGGUGAAACUCAAAGGAAUUGACGGGGGCCCGCACAAGCGGAGGAACAUGUGGUUUAAUUCGAUGAUACGCGAGGAACCUUACCCGGGUUUGAACGCAUUCGGACCGAGGUGGAAACACCUUUUCUAGCAAUAGCCGUUUGCGAGGUGCUGCAUGGUUGUCGUCAGCUCGUGCCGUGAGGUGUCGGCUUAAGUGCCAUAACGAGCGCAACCCUUGCCACUAGUUACUAACAGGUAAAGCUGAGGACUCUGGUGGGACUGCCAGCGUAAGCUGCGAGGAAGGCGGGGAUGACGUCAAAUCAGCACGGCCCUUACAUCCGGGGCGACACACGUGUUACAAUGGCGUGGACAAAGGGAGGCCACCUGGCGACAGGGAGCGAAUCCCCAAACCACGUCUCAGUUCGGAUCGGAGUCUGCAACCCGACUCCGUGAAGCUGGAUUCGCUAGUAAUCGCGCAUCAGCCAUGGCGCGGUGAAUACGUUCCCGGGCCUUGUACACACCGCCCGUCAAGCCAUGGGAGCCGGGGGUACCUGAAGUCCGUAACCGAAAGGAUCGGCCUAGGGUAAAACUGAU
rnacentral:rRNA from 1 species